CAUUUAUGUUCUGUGCUUGGGGAGAGCUGCUUUUAAGAGACUGAUUCAGUUUGGAAGAUGAUUUCCAUCAGCUACUUUUAAAAGAUACGUGCUAUUUCAGCACAAAGCUGAAGCCCCCGUUAGAGCUGCACUAGGGAUUAAGAAACGGCAUGUAUUUUAAUGCCUUAUGAAUAGGAGUAGCUGAUAAAAGAGGCUCUUGUUACCACUGCUACAUUUAAAUGUGAAAAGCAGCUGCUUCUAGUGAGGAGGGGGUAGGGAAGUGGAGAAGAGAUAUAUUAUUUUCAUAGGGAUUUAAUUUUCAGAGUACACUGAAACCAUAGAAUACCAUUGGCCAUUCUCUUAUCGGCGGCUCUCUAAUCGUACUGAGAUCUGUAAGAUUGUGGAGAGGGAAGGAGAGAGACUGGGAGGCAGAGAAAGGGAUUGUGUGUAGCAAUGAGGCUGGCCAUUUUCAUCUGCGUGUAUGUUUUGAACCUCAGAUCAAAACGCACGCGUGGUAUUUUCUUCUUCUCUUAUGAGCAUUAACCCUUUAAACUUUCAAAAUGCCAGCCAGUUAAAGAGUCUGAUGUAACUAUGCUGUCUUCAGAGCCUGUGAUUUGCAGUAAGCCCUGAGAAUAAGAUGACCACUGAGACCUCAUUGGAGAUUAUGGACCAUGUGUAUGCGCCAGGUUGGGACAGAGGGCACGAAAGAGACUCUCUACCAACAUUUCAGAGACAACGGAUUUCAGCAAACGCUGAUUGAGUGCCAGCCGUAUGCCAGUCACCACUCAGGGCUGCAAAGAUUCACCAUGAAACAGGCGCAGGCAUGAGACAGAGCUUAUGAUCUGGAGAAGAGAGACAGGCAAUGAAUACACAAUAAGCAAAUAAGGAACAAUUCAACAAGCAGGCUGAUCGUUUCAGAUAAUGAAUGAGGGAGAGCUGGGGAGCCAGAGAAGACGGCAGUGACAGUCAGGUUCAGGUAAGGGAGAGGCUCAUCAGCCACAGCAAGGGAUUUGGAUUUUAUUCCAAAUGC
rnacentral:lncRNA from 1 species